ensembl:miRNA MIR936 microRNA 936
UCAAGGGCGCUGGGACAGGAGAGGGAGGAAUCGCAGAAAUCACUCCAGGAGCAACUGAGAGACCUUGCUUCUACUUUACCAGGUCCUGCUGGCCCAGA